AAACUAAACAACGAACGCUAUGUUGUGAAGAGAAGCAUUUUCAUCUGAGAAGAAUAAAAAUGAAGUUUUUUUGUGUUAGCAACCAGAUAGGAGGCUGGAAGCCAACGUGAAAGGCUACUAGUGCAGGAAAUCACUUUAGUCAAAAACAGCCAGCACGGACAGGAUAAUUUGGAGACAUCAGUGUUGAGUCUGAAACUUCCGGGAAGGAGGAAAUUAUUUUUAGAAAAGUUUCUGAAGCUUUUUUGAAAUUCAGAGAAAGAGUGAAUUGGAGCCAAGGUUGUAAUACCAGGAUAACAAAUGAACAAGAGGAAUGGUGGAUACCAGUCACAAAAACAGUAUCAACUGUUUCGAGAAAGU